GAGACACCUGGGUUUCCCUGGCAACAGGUGCCGCGGCGGCCGGGAGAGCCGGGAGAACCGGGAGAGCCGGGGGUUUCCCCGCUCGGCUCCGCGCCGCCGGCGGCCCCGGGAGCGCCUCGGGGGCCGGGCCGGCCCUACCGCCCCUUUCCCCCGAGGGGCAGCCCCGGCCCGGCCCGGCCCUGCGGCCCCCGGCGGCACCAGCCGGGGGUCCGGGCGAGAGCGGUCCCCGCCCGCGGCGGGAAGAAUGGCAUCAGUCAUCCAACACUGUAGCAGCACUGAUCUGCACGACUGAAUGGUUUUGAAAAACAUCUCAUCUAGAAAUCAGACCUUUUGCAUAAAGGCUUUCAGAUGACACUGCACCUUGCAGCUGUGUCUCCAGCAAGGACUGCUUCUGCACAGGAGUGAAGUUCUAUUUUACAGGUCAGAACCAAUGGAAUAGGAAAACAUGGCACAGUGUCUCUGUGACUCCUUGCUUCUCUAUGCUGAGGACUGUGGCACAACCAGUAGAAGCAGAGCCAUCAGGGUUGGUGGUAUAACACACGUGUGCACUAGAAAGACUUGGAACAGAGCAUCCUCCAUGGAAUGGGGAUCUUCAGGGAGCACAGCCUGGUGCAGAAGAAGGACUUGCAAUGCUGGGUGCCUGCCUGAGUUCUGCGAUGAGAUGUGGCAAAGUCCAGUCCUCAACCUCCUUCCUAAGAUCAGUAUUUCUCUUCAGGAGCAAGUGAAGAAACUCUUCACUGCAGUGUUAAAGUCAGAUUUGAAUAACCCCUAGGGUGGUGAUUCUGAUAUUUUACAAACUGAAGAAAAAAGACCUCUUCCCCAUCCAGGCUACAUACUGAAAGUCUCUCCUGUGCUAUGAGCCCUUCUGGUCUUCUGCAAAGGGAGAGCACCAGUGAAGGCUCAACAACAGCAGUGCUUUCUUCACUAUCUCUGUAAAUGAAACCUAGGAGUUUUGUUCCUGGAUGGCUGCAUGAGGAAACUGUUGACUCUUGUUUAGUUCACAAAUCUCAUAAAACGUAAAUAAUAUAAUAAUGGCCAGUCUUCGCGAGCGAAGAUCCGGGGAAGGUCUUUCCACCUUCCAGCCUGCGCAUUGGAUUUUUUAGAAGAGGAAGAAACUAGCAAGGGAAGCAUUGCACGCUGAUGCAAUCAAGCAGAGGAGAGAAAAGCAAAACCUUUCCAGCAACAGAUGGCACCUAAACAAAUGAUGAACAAGGCAGUUAGUCGAUAUGUUCGUCCUGUGCUUCCUGGGCUCUUUCUGUCCUCAGAUUCUUAACUUGACGGACCGGUGAUUGCCCGUUCUUUCUCAAGAAAUACCACUAAAGCCUAUCAGAGGAACUUGCCGUGUCUAUUCUUAGCCUCCAGAUCUAUUGUGGGAGAGGUGGAGUUCUUCUGCUGUCCGAGACAAAAAAGAUCCAGCUGUCUGCAAGCUGAUAAAGGCAAAGCUGUGAUUUCCAUUUAUUUUUUCAGUUUCAUACAUGUGGUGUUGGGCUGCUUCGACUCCCUGUCGCUGCAAGAUUUGGCUUAUAUGAGCAAAACUCGUGUUCCAGGGAGCAGCAGUAGGUAACAGGAGAGCUACCACCACUUUCUUUUUAGAAAAAUCACUCCUAAGCAGGAAAUAACUCUCCCCUCGCAAUCACUGCAAUUGUGCACUAGAAGCAUAUAAAAGAAUAAAAUAGGUGGUGCGUUUUAGAUGGUUCAGACAUGCACCUGACGCUAAACAGAGACUGUUAUUUUAUACUGGGGAGAUGUUGAUUUGUUCUUUUCUGCUUUAUCCUGAACAAGCUAUGGGAGAAUAUGAGCUGCAGAGGGAAGGUGCUGGCCAUCAGUGAUCCCUGGGGAAUUUCUGUUCCAACUCUCCCAGCCUUGAAGCGUUUACCAUCACUGUAAAAUUAUGUAGCUCUCUCUAGAGUGCAGCAGAUCCAUGCAGCUCAGAGGCCCUGAUGGGGCAACUCUGAGUACUUGUAUGAGGGAACUCGAGGGCCUCACACACAGAAGAUGAGACAAUAUUGCUGUCUGUAUAUGGAUCUUGCCUAUGACCCUGUGCAUUCAACAAUCUGGAGGAAAAACUCCCUCCCCUUCACACUCCUGGAGGGCUAAUGCAGGUCACACAUGAAUGAAGGCAGCUAUUUCACACUUGGCUUGCAGAGGGCACAGCAUGCAUGUCUGGGGAGCAGAGAGAGGUGGGAAUGGGGGAAGGAGGAGGAGGAAGGAAAACAGGGCAAUGGGACGUGAAUCUGUCCUUGAGUCAUUCACAACACCUGGAUAUAAAUGCAAUUCACUUAUAAUACUUUGGGGUUUAAUGUUCAUUUGGUUUUAUCUUCAUAACUUGUCAAAGAAAGCUUUUAUUACUUUUGGGUUUUUUCAGAGUUCUUAAGUCCUCUUUUGUCCUCUCUUCAGUUCACUGUAAUUAGAGACUGCCGAGUUGAUCUCCAAAUCUCAGGAAACCCCACAGGUUGCCCCCCCACAACGCCUUUGAAGUUUCGAGGGUACUCACUAGAUACACGAGAAAGGAAAAAUCUAGAUUCAUUUAGCAAUGCCCACCCAAGGCAUACCUGGCAGAUCAAACCCAGUGUAGAUUUUGAAUAUGUAAACUUAGCUCAUCCAUGCCAUCCCUGAUUCUGCUGUACAGAUCUUUAGGCCAGAAAAAGCCAAAAUUUAUCCCAAGAUCAUCUCAGAUAACAUGAAAGGGAUGAGGAUAGUUGUUCAUUCCUCUAGAUAACUGUGAUUAUAAGCCAUGGCACUGUCUUGUGUGAAACUAGGGACAUGCAAAGCAGGCUGAGUUAGUGAAAAACUGUUAGAGGUAUUAUAUUUGGAUACAUUUGCAAUUCAGGAUCUUAAAACAUUUCAGAACGAAACAGAAAAGACAUUCAAGUCUUGCUGAGGAAACAAGUCUUGAAUCAAAUAAUGUAAAAAUAUUUCCCACAAUCCAAUUUCUUUUUGAGAAAACACUAUAUUUGAAGAGGUGGAAGAAUAUCAUUAAAAAGUGAACAAAUGCAGCAAAUGGAUUCAGGUAAGUAGUUUUAGUCCUCUUCUGUUUUGAGCUCAAGUGCAGAGUUAUUACGAGUGUACUCAGUCCUAGAGAAAGGUCACAGAAUCAACCAGGUUGGAAAAGACCAUAUUUGGCAUGGAUGGCACUAGGAAGGCUGACAGGUUUCUAAUUUUCAGGACCCAUCUUACACUUCUUGGAGAGGCAAGAACCCCUGCUUGUAUCAGGCACUCCCUGACUGGGAUGUGUAUCUGUCCCUGCAAUGCUGCCUGUACAGAUUAACGUAUCAAAGCCAGUGCACGUUCAUUUUAAUUCCUGUGACUAUGCCAAGCUGUAAAUUGAGGUGGUUCAUGAAUCAUUCAGCUGGAGAGGCAGCUUCCAGGAGAGAGGCAAGGCAGAUGGUUAUGACAGGUAAACCUCCCCAGCUACCCCAGGUUUAACUACCCCUCUAGGGCAGUAUUCUUAUUUACUCUGCCUACUGCAGUCCUGCAAAGACAAAAUAUUACUGCUCCCCUGCAGCUUGUUCAGAUUUCCUUCUCCCAGGAGCUACUCAGAGCUGUCAGCUCACCCAUAUUUGUCCCUAACCAGAUCCAGAUGAACUAAGAAAGGAAAGCCAAACAGCUUCAGCUGUACCUUGCUGGUAAGAAAGUCCUCUUUGGACUGCAAGGGAGGAGAGCUUGUCUCAGCACCUGAGGCAAUUAUUCAGAGGCAUAUGGACUUGUAAGGGCAGGGAGUUUUCCCUGAUAUCAGCAGUAAAUUAUCCCAGAAGCCAGGGAGGAAUGUGUUGUGUCUCACUUUCUCAGUCAAUGAGCAGUGUACAGAAGUCUGAAGGCAGGAAAAAAUGUGGGCGAAAGAUGGUAUGUUGCCUUCUUGUCAUAUGGUGUGGCUCACAAGCUAGCUCCUUGUCUCUGCAAAGGAGCAGUCCUGAUCUGCCUUGUAAAGAUUUUAUCAUUAAGAAUUCUCCCCUGAGAAGUCACACUCCUUCAUUUCUCUGUCUUCCAAAUAAAAGGCUCUCCAUCUCCUUCUCUAUAUGAGAGGGGAGGGCAGCUUCUCCCCAGGCUGUGAUGCACAGUGCAUGACAAUUCAAGCAGCUCUCAGGGAGCUCUCCUACUCCCAUAGUAACUCAGCCCUUGCCUAUCUUCUAAUCCCUGAGACGUUAAGAGCAGACACCCACACAGCUGCAGCUCUGGGAAAUGAUUUUGCAUUGAGGGAUCCAAGAGCUCAUCAGUGGUACCAGGGUCCAGCUGUCUGGCAGUUCUCUGAAGCUCAGGAGCCCAGGAUUGUCCUUGUGCUCUCCUGGGUCUCCUAAGAUUCAAGAAAAAUGUGAAGCAUAGGUAUGCACCCAAGGAGUGUCCCAAACCAGAUGCCACAAAAGGACAUGCUGCUUAUGAAUCAGCUCUGCAGUAUAACACGAGUCUUUAAAACCAGUUAGCUGAAAAGCUGAGGGAAGCCUCAGAAUUUGCUUAAUUUGCAUUGUAUCAGUUUUGUAAAUACCUCAGAAGGGAUGUAGCCAGAAAACUUGUUUCUACCCUUAGAUAACAGCUGCUUUACACAGUAAUGAGCAAAAAGUGAAGGAAAGGAGAAAACAAUGUUAUGCAGUUGGGUUAUGUCUCCUGCAGUUCAACUGAACAGCUCCCUGGUUUGAGCUCAUGAACAUUUACUGUACAUUUAUUUGAUGGGCUUUGAGUAACUCUUUUCAGUCAAAGGAUUUUUUUCAGCACAUAUGGGCUUCCAAAUAUAGUGAAACCAAUUUGCUUUGAAAAGCAAUAUAUCUGCUAAAGGGCAGUUUUAUUUUCCUUUAGGUAAGGCUCAACUUUUAUGCACAGCAGGAUCCUGAAAUACAAAGCCCACUAAUUAGGGGAAGGGAGAGACAGCAUAUUAAAACUAGUUUAAAACUUGGUGAACUAUUUUAAAAUCUCUAAGGAUCCUGACCUCAAAACCUUUUUACCAUCUAUUCCCAACUAUUCAAGCUCUUGCCAGCACUUAAGCAAGAAUGAGCAAUCGCUACUUUAUUAGCUAUGUGUCUAUUAAACAAAAAAAAAAUGUUUAUACAUUUGAAGGAUCAUCUGUAGACAUUUCAGCAAGUAUACACUCAACAGUGAUUAAAGAAAAGCAAGUCUGCCAAGAGGUCUGCUUAGUAAAGCAAUGAGACUUUGCUGCCACACCUUUUGCACUGCCCCAUUCAUCUCUACCUGCCCCACAUUUCAAGCCUUGCUCUCAUGAAGAGUGGGAGUUUGGUUUUUUCCCUUUUUCUGCUGUAACUCUAUAACUCUGGGAGCCAAAGCUAAAACCUGGAGUUCAGAGACUUCUAGGGUCCAGGUGCCGUGUCAGCCAGCUGAGGACCCCAGGAGCCAAAAACCUAGUCUGAGAGGGAAGUUUCCAAGAGUUUGCCAGUGGGAAGCAUUAGCAGUGAGAUCUUGCUGGCAGGAUGUGAAACCUAAAGCUAAGCAUGGUAUGUGAAGUGUCAAGAUGUGAACAAGAUGCUCAGAUCCUAAUUAUAAGCAGUGGGAAUCAGGUUCCAGUUCAUCCAGUUCAUCUCCCCAGCAUGACAUCCUAGUGCUACUUAAGACACUCAAGAACAGCCAAAAUACCCAAAGAGGGCUGACUGAUGUGAUGUGGAUCUUAGGGAAGAACUCAGCCUCCUGGAGGGAGACAGGACAUAGCACCAGAAUAAUUCAAUAAUUAUUUGCUGCAUUUAAGUACAUGAACCUUGACCCUCCUCAGUCCAGUCAGCAGGGUCAAGGGGGUUCACCUACAACAGACACCAACAUUUGGCCUGGUCAGUAGAUCUCCUGGGUCAAUUAACUGCAUUGACAAUAUGGUUGUAUUGAAAUUAGAAAAAAUUUUUACACUGAAAGCAUGAUCAAGCAUUGGAACAGGCUGCCCAGCAAUGUGGUGGAAUCACCAUCCUUGGAAGUGUUCAGAAAAUGUGUAGAUGUAGUGUUUAUAGAGACAUGUGUCUAGUGAUGGACUUGACAGUGCUGGGUUAAUGGUUGGACUCAAUGAUCUUAGAGGUCUUUUCCAACUUAAAUGAUUCUCUGAAUUUCACUUUAAACAUAGUAACAGAACCAAAUUCCUACUCACCUCUGGAGUGUACAUGCCUCCAUUCACAUGGAAACAGAGCGGCUGUGCUCUGCAGAAGGGAGGCACACAGCUGAAUGAGGUCUAGUCUCCUUAAAUGCUUGGUGAGGCUGGUAAAAGCGCUUUUACUCUUCAAAGUGAUUGCUGUGCACAGUCAUGAAUGGGGCAACCCUGGGACAGAAAGGCCUGUACAGUAGAUGGAUGUGGUGACCACUCCCACAGGAAAAAGGAUCCAGCUUCUGACCCUGGACUGUGGGGCUUGAGGUGGGUUUUUUGAAUUUUUUUGUUCAUUUGGCAAAGGAGGAGGAGGGUUAGUUGUGGCUGCAAAAUGCACCAUCAGUCCCUGUAACUGGAAGUGAUGUCUGUCUGUUUUUCUCCCCAGGUGAUUGACAGACAGUGUCAAAGGCUAGAAAGCUCAGUUUCCACUUACCUGCCCUUACCCUGUGUCAUUACUAUCCCGUGUUUCAUUAUGCUACAGCAGAAUGGGAAGUUUUGGAGAUUACACCUUACCUGGCCUCACAUCUCUUGAGUCUGACAUUCACAGUUACACAGUGAGGAAAUAAAACUGAGAACUGUUUUCUGCAUAAGCAUCCUUGUUUCAAGAGACUACCAGGACAGAGAAGACAUAUUAUUUGCUGGUGAAGGGAUUCCCCAGCCAAGAAGCAUGAGCAGUGCCCUAGACCACAGGAGGACACAACUGUUAAGAUACAGCACAUCAUGCAAACGUGGUUCAUGGAGUAAUAUUACACCAAAAUAAUGUUCUGACAGGGUAUUAUAGUUUUUAAAUUAUUGUAUUCUGAGAGCCUCUCUGUAGGAUCUGGAAAAGCUUCUUCUCCAAACAGAGAGGCAUUCUGGACCUCAAAGAUGCAUCAAGUGUCGACAAAAUGGAACCCACCCCCUCUGCAGUCGCUCGACAGCUAGGGCUUGUGCCACCUCCAGGACAUUAAAAAGCUGUUACAUUUCAGUUCUUGCCUUCCACAGCAGUUUGACCUAUUGUCAUUGAGCUAGAAAACAUGGGGUUUUUUACUAUUCAAUGCCUGCCCCAGUAAAUCAAGUUCCAUAUAUUAACAAGAGGGUUAGAGUAAGUUAAAUAUCAACGGAUGAAUAAAAUAUGAUGGAUAAUGAUUUCUAGCUAACAUAGACCUUUGUAAUAUUGUUGCAUGUUUUAAUAAACAGUCAUCAAAAUAA